GACGAACCGUGCGAACGUUAUUCGGAAUCACUGGGCUUAAAGCGCGUGUAGGCGGGUCGGAACGUCGGUCGCUGAAAUCCCCCGGCUUAACCGGGGGAACGGGCGCCGAAACGGCCGGCCUGGAGGAACGUAGGGGGAGCUGGAACUUCCGGUGGAGCGGUGAAAUGCGUUGAGAUCGGAAGGAACGCCCGUGGCGAAAGCGAGCUCCUGGACGUUUUCUGACGCUGAGACGCGAAAGCCAGGGGAGCGAACGGG
rnacentral:rRNA from 1 species